rnacentral:lncRNA from 10 species
GGGUUCUCGCCAUUCUCCUGCCUCAGCCUUCCGAGUAGCUGGGACUAUAGGUGCCCGCCACCACGCCAGGCUAAUUUUUUGUAUUUUUAGUAGAGAUGGGGUUUCACCGUGUUAGCCAGGAUGGUCUCGAUCUUCUGACCUCGUGAUCCGCCCGCCUCGGCCUCCCAAAGUGCUAGGAUUACAGGCGUGAGCCACCGCGCCCGGCAGCAAAUUUUAAGAGUUGGAUGUCAACCUCCUCCCUGCUCUGGCCUGAGACACCUGAGCUGACCACCUGUUGGGAUUGGACCCAGUCCUUCCUCCUGCCUCAUCCCCAUCCCCAGCUCUAUUCACAUGCCUUGCCUGGUAUCAUGGUUGCCUUUGUUUCUAGCCCUGACAAGCUUUUAUUCAGAUGUGUUAAUUAAAACAAUAAACCUUGCUGUUCCCAUUUUCCAAUUGCAAAAGUGUUCUUGAAUCAAGGGUGACUCAAGGAGUUCAUGAUUACUUCUAAUGAGCAGACCACAAAAAUCAAUCAGUCCCUUUGUAGAGAAACAACACUCGAGUGCAGUCACCUAUAAUGUGAACAAGGAAACAUUUCUUUAACAAGAAAAACAUUAAUGAUAAAAAAAGAGUGGGAGUGGUGGAGCUUCAGAUCAGCAAGGAGGGUAGAAGUGACUCCAGAGGUGGCAGAUUCUGCUAAUUAAAAUCUGCCCUAAAAUGAACUACUUACCAAGACAUUUUAGCCUGAAUUUUAAAACAAAGACCCAAUAUUGUCUUGGUGUCUUUAUUCUUUUUGCCUUUUCUUCAUCUAAACUUAUUUAAAGCUAUUUCUAUUGUAAAAUAAGACACACAUACAGACAGUGCAUAAAAUAUAUAUGUUUGGUUUAAAUUAUUAUAAAGCAAGCUGCAUGUAAUUGCUUUCUCAG